UACGGGGGGUGCAAGCGUUAUCCGGAAUUACUGGGUUUAAAGGGUGCGCAGGCGGCUUGAUAAGUCAGAGGUGAAAGCCUAUCGCUUAACGAUAGAAUUGCCUUUGAUACUGUAAAGCUUGAAAGGGGUUGAGGUCAGCAGAAUGUGGCAUGUAGCGGUGAAAUGCAUAGAUAUGCCAUAGAACACCGAUUGCGAAGGCAGCUGGCUGGGCCUACUUUGACGCUGAGGCACGAAAGCGUGGGGAGCGAACAGG
rnacentral:rRNA from 1 species